AUAGGGUGGUGGGGGGAACGCGGGGAAGUGAAACAUCUCAGUACCCGUAGGAGAAGAUAUUCCGUGAGUAGUGGCGAGCGAAAGCGGAGGAGGCUAAACCUUGUGCGUGUGAUAGGCGGCGGCCGUUGCGCAUGGGGUGUUGUGGGGCAUGAUCGUCUACCUUCUGCCGGGGGUGGGCAUGGCGUGUUGUUGGUGGUUGAACCUCUUGGGAUGGGGGACCGUAGUGCGUGAUAGUCGCGUAGGCCAGCCGGUAGGGCGCCGUGUGGGUUGUGUUCCCGAGUAGUGCGGGACUCGUGAAAUCUCGUGUGAAUCUGCCAGGACCACCUGGUAAGCCUAAAUACUACUGAGUGACCGAUAGUGCAUAGUACCGUGAGGGAAUGGUGAAAAGUACCCCGGGAGGGGAGUGAAAUAGUACCUGAAACCGUGUGCUUGUAAGCCGUCAGAGCCUUGUGGGGUGAUGGCGUGCCUUUUGAAGAAUGAGCCUGCGAGUCAGUGGCACGUGGCGUGCUUAACCCGUGUGGGGUAUGCGUAGCGAAAGCGAGUCUGAAAUAUGGCGUGUGUCGCGUGUUCUGGACCCGAAGCGGGGUGAUCUACCCAUGGCCAGGUUGAAGCAAGGGUAAGACUUUGUGGAGGACCGAACCCACCAGGGUUGAAAACCUGGGGGAUGAGCUGUGGGUAGGGGUGAAAGGCCAAUCAAACUCCGUGAUAGCUGGUUCUCCCCGAAAUGCAUUUAGGUGCAGCGUUGUGUGGUUCCUGUUGGAGGUAGAGCUACUGGAUGGCCGAUGGGCCCUGUGGGUUACUGACGUCAGCCAAACUCCGAAUGCCAAUAGGGUAGAGCAUGGCAGUGAGACUGCGGGGGAUAAGCUUCGUAGUCGAGAGGGAAACAGCCCAGAUCAUCAGCUAAGGCCCCUAAGUGUGCGCUAAGUGGGAAAGGAUGUGGAGUCGCGGUGACAACCAGGAGGUUGGCUUAGAAGCAGCCACCCUUGAAAGAGUGCGUAAUAGCUCACUGGUCAAGUGAUUUCGCGCCGACAAUGUAGCGGGGCUUAAGCGUACCGCCGAAGCUGUGGCAACAACACGAAUUAGCUGGCGUCAUUUAAUGAUUGUUGGUGUGUUGUUGGGUAGGGGAGCGUCCUGCAUGAGGUGAAGCCUGGAGGUAACUUCUGGUGGAUUGUGUGGGAGUGAGAAUGCAGGCAUGAGUAACGAAUCUGCGGUGAGAAUCCGCAGCGCCGAUUGACUAAGGGUUCCAGGGCUAGGUUUAUCCGCCCUGGGUUAGUCGGGUCCUAAGGCGAGGCCGACAGGCGUAGUCGAUGGACAACCAGUUGAUAUUCUGGUACCGCGUUAUGACCGCCCAUGCUGAAGUCAUUGUGCUAACCAAUUUGCCCGCAUCCCCGCAUGGCUUUCGGGCCGUGUGGGUGUGUGUGGGUCUUGGGGUCCCGGUGAUUGUAGGCAAGCGUGUUAACAGGGGUGACGCAGACAGGUAGCUGCAGUGCGCCGAUGGUUGUGCGUAUUUAAGGUUGUGGCCCGCCUCCCAGGCAAAUCCGGGGGACACUGUGGGUGAGAACUGAUGAGGGACACACGCGUGUGUGGACUUGUGGUGAUCCUAAGCUGCCGAGAAAAGCCUCGACGUGAGGGCAUAACGCGCCCGUACCCUAAACCGACUCAGGUGGUCAGGUAGAGUAUACCGAGGCGUUCGAGUGAAUCGUGGUUAAGGAACUCGGCAAAAUUCCUCCGUAACUUCGGGAUAAGGAGGACCCCGUGGUUUCCCAACGCCGUGCGUGUUGGUGGGGCCGUGGGGUCGCAGAGAAUAGGGAGAAGCGACUGUUUAUCAAAAACACAGGUGCGUGCGAAGCCGUAAGGCGAUGUAUACGCACUGACGCCUGCCCGGUGCUGGAAGGUUAAGAGGAACUGUUAACACUCCUUCGGGGUGUGAAGCGGUGAAUUUAAGCCCCAGUAAACGGCGGUGGUAACUAUAACCAUCCUAAGGUAGCGAAAUUCCUUGUCGGGUAAGUUCCGAC
rnacentral:rRNA from 1 species